CCACGUGUAGCGGUGAAAUGCGUAGAGAUGUGGAGGAACACCAGUGGCGAAGGCGACUCUCUGGUCUGUAACUGACGCUGAGGAGCGAAAGCGUGGGGAGCGAACAGGAUUAGAUACCCUGGUAGUCCACGCCGUAAACGAUGAGUGCUAAGUGUUAGGGGGUUUCCGCCCCUUAGUGCUGCAGCUAACGCAUUAAGCACUCCGCCUGGGGAGUACGGUCGCAAGACUGAAACUCAAAGGAAUUGACGGGGGCCCGCACAAGCGGUGGAGCAUGUGGUUUAAUUCGAAGCAACGCGAAGAACCUUACCAGGUCUUGACAUCCUCUGACAAUCCUAGAGAUAGGACGUCCCCUUCGGGGGCAGAGU
rnacentral:rRNA from 1 species